rnacentral:lncRNA from 1 species
GGGCAGGAUAAGGAGGGAUGGCCAGAGGAGGGAACGGAGAACCGCUGGGGUUGGCUAGGGGUUAAUUUGAGGCUGGGUGUUGGGAAGCUCCUGGGAGUUUCCAAGAGGCUAGGACACUGGGGAGUGCUGAGCAGACAUGGGCUGGGGAAAUAGGGGGUCCGGUGUGGUGGCUGAGUGACCAAGGGGUCAUUAAGGUGUGGGCGCUGUGGGAGGCUGGCACGCUUUGGAAGGACAUGGAGCUAGUGAGGUGAGCUGGAGAGCAGAUGAGAAGCAGGGUGAGUGAAAAUCAGAGCUGGGUACCUGUGGGCAUUGAAUGAUACGGUGGAGGGGGAAUUGUGAGGGAGCAAUGAAAUCGCGGUGGUCCAAUUUGGGGAGAGGCUCAGCAAACUCGGGCAAGAUGGGUGUACCGCGUUUCCAAUGUGAAGAGCCGAAAGCAGGACAGGGAAGGAUGCUGUGUGGGGGACAGGGAUAGGGAAAGGCUGAGGGGCAGAGGAAACUGGGGUGCUGAGAGUUGGUAGCCUGCCCACCACUCCCCACCCCCAGUCCCAGUCCCACUCGUACCUGACGGUGGCCUCACGGCCCCAGCUGCCUGCCCCACGAGAAGACGCUCCGUUCUGUGCACAUCGCCGGGCAGAGGGCAGCCCCAGACUUGUUGACUUGGCAGAGGUGCCAGUAAGGCCGCCCAUGCCGGAGGCCAGCAUCCCUCUGCCAGGAGCACGGGGAGGGAGGGAGUGGAGGGGGACGUGGCAGGGGAGGGAAGGUCUGAGGGGCAUGGGAGCCAGAGAGGGUACCCACUCCCCUGCAGGACCUGUGACAGUCGGUCCACAGAUCCUCCCCCACUGCUCUGAGUCAGAUUCCACACACACAGCCUUUAUUGAGCAGCUACUGGGCAGUG